rnacentral:lncRNA from 1 species
GGCAAUAGCGACUGUCACCCGAGUUAUAUUUUACUUCUAUAUUUAGUAAUUUAUAAUAAAUGGUUCAGUUAGAUGAUCAUAUUUGUUGUUUGAAUAUUCGUGAAUUGUUCGUAUUGAUGAUUUCCAUUAUGCAUGUGAUUAGAGUUUGUGAAUCUGGAUGUUGGUUUUAUGGAUACUUGAUUUUCGUGUAUUUACGCAUCGUAGUUUUCUAUCCCUCAAGGUAGUCGGUUUUCAAAAUGGAGUUUCCGAGUGGGAAACAGUUUUAAAAAGAUUUUCGAAUGGCUUUUGGUGAAUGAUUGAAUUAGAGUUUAAAAACAAAGCUUCCGGAUGGGGGGCACUUUUAAAUAGGAUGACUGUUGUACUGUGCAUCGCAUUAUCCAGCGCCUAAGGAGUGUUUAGAGGCAUGCAUCAUUUCUAAGGAUCGCUAGCUGUAUGGAAAUGCAUGGCAUGAAUGGUUUGUUAAUUGGUAAAUGUAGACUGUGGUUGUGAUCCUGUUGACGUAGCUGUUGGUACGCC